GAGACAUAGAUUGGAAGAAUGAAUGAACAGGAUAAAGAAGUCCUGCCUAUCAAUGAGGAAGCUAGAGCCAAAAAUUGUGAACAUAAACGAAAAAGGUUUUCGACAGUGUAUAGCGAUAAGAAGGAAGAAAUUCGUGCCAAAAAUCGUGAGUAUCAACGUAGUUGGCGGGCUCGUCAGAAGGCUGAUGCUUAUGCAACAAAAUUGAUUGCAUCAUCUCAAAUCACAGCUCAAAAUGAGAGAGCUCGAACCAAAAAAAAUGAGUAUGAACGAGAACGGUAUGGUGCAUUUAUUGCCUAAUAUUAAGAAGGAGGAAAUUCGGGCCAAAAACCGUGAAUACCAACGAGGUCGUCAAGCUUGUCAAAAGACCGAGCCUGAUGCAUCAAAAUUGAUUGCAUCAUCUGGAAUCAAAUAUACUAGAAUGGAUGAAAAAGGCAACUCUUAUAAGCGGAAACAAGUCAUGGCUUCACAAGAAAAUAAUAUAGAUAAAGGCACUUGUGAAAACAAAAACACUUGUGGAAAGCAAAUGGCCAAUGAGAAGUAUAGACAUACAAUGCCUGGUACUCAGAAGGAUGAGGUCCUUGCUAAAAACAAAAUGAUUUAGAUCAACAAAACCCAAAUGAAGAAGGCCCUGACAUCUACGAGGAUUGUGAAGCAAGAAUGUUUAAUGAUAAAGAUUUCCAAUAUGAUUUUUCUAUAGAACCUUCAACAAGAAUAAAUGGUCAUGAUCCUUAUAACUUUGUGUAUGAGGAUCUUCCUAAGAACCAUCAUGUGUUGAGGGUGAAGGUCCUGCAUUUUGUUGUCGGAAUGGACGUGUUAAUAUAUUUAUACCAGAGGUCCCUAAGGAGCUCCGUAGAUUGUUCACAAGUCAGACUGAUAGGGAUGCAAAGUAUUUCAGAAAGAACAUUCGUUAUUUCAAUUCACACUUUUCUUUCACUAGCAUGGGGGUUUCCAUUGAUCGUAGUUUGGCAACAUCAAAGGGUACUGGUAUAUAUACAUUCAAAGCUCAUGGCCAAAUAUAU